rnacentral:rRNA from 1 species
UUAAGUUAUUAAGGGCGCACGGUGGAUGCCUUGGCACUAGAAGCCGAUGAAGGACGUUACUAACGACGAUAUGCUUUGGGGAGCUGUAAGUAAGCUUUGAUCCAGAGAUUUCCGAAUGGGGAAACCCAGCAUGAGUUAUGUCAUGUUAUCGAUAUGUGAAUACAUAGCAUAUCAGAAGGCACACCCGGAGAACUGAAACAUCUUAGUACCCGGAGGAAGAGAAAGAAAAUUCGAUUCCCUUAGUAGCGGCGAGCGAAACGGGAAGAGCCCAAACCAACAAGCUUGCUUGUUGGGGUUGUAGGACACUCUAUACGGAGUUACAAAGGACGACAUUAGACGAAUCAUCUGGAAAGAUGAAUCAAAGAAGGUAAUAAUCCUGUAGUCGAAAAUGUUGUCUCUCUUGAGUGGAUCCUGAGUACGACGGAGCACGUGAAAUUCCGUCGGAAUCUGGGAGGACCAUCUCCUAAGGCUAAAUACUCUCUAGUGACCGAUAGUGAACCAGUACCGUGAGGGAAAGGUGAAAAGCACCCCGGAAGGGGAGUGAAAUAGAACCUGAAACCGUGUGCUUACAAGUAGUCAGAGCCCGUUAAUGGGUGAUGGCGUGCCUUUUGUAGAAUGAACCGGCGAGUUACGAUUUGAUGCAAGGUUAAGCAGUAAAUGUGGAGCCGUAGCGAAAGCGAGUCUGAAUAGGGCGUUUAGUAUUUGGUCGUAGACCCGAAACCAGGUGAUCUACCCUUGGUCAGGUUGAAGUUCAGGUAACACUGAAUGGAGGACCGAACCGACUUACGUUGAAAAGUGAGCGGAUGAACUGAGGGUAGCGGAGAAAUUCCAAUCGAACCUGGAGAUAGCUGGUUCUCUCCGAAAUAGCUUUAGGGCUAGCCUCAAGUGAUGAUUAUUGGAGGUAGAGCACUGUUUGGACGAGGGGCCCCUCUCGGGUUACCGAAUUCAGACAAACUCCGAAUGCCAAUUAAUUUAACUUGGGAGUCAGAACAUGGGUGAUAAGGUCCGUGUUCGAAAGGGAAACAGCCCAGACCACCAGCUAAGGUCCCAAAAUAUAUGUUAAGUGGAAAAGGAUGUGGCGUUGCCCAGACAACUAGGAUGUUGGCUUAGAAGCAGCCAUCAUUUAAAGAGUGCGUAAUAGCUCACUAGUCGAGUGACACUGCGCCGAAAAUGUACCGGGGCUAAACAUAUUACCGAAGCUGUGGAUUGUCCUUUGGACAAUGGUAGGAGAGCGUUCUAAGGGCGUUGAAGCAUGAUCGUAAGGACAUGUGGAGCGCUUAGAAGUGAGAAUGCCGGUGUGAGUAGCGAAAGACGGGUGAGAAUCCCGUCCACCGAUUGACUAAGGUUUCCAGAGGAAGGCUCGUCCGCUCUGGGUUAGUCGGGUCCUAAGCUGAGGCCGACAGGCGUAGGCGAUGGAUAACAGGUUGAUAUUCCUGNNNNNNNNNNNNNNNNNNNNNNNNACCACCUAUAAUCGUUUUAAUCGAUGGGGGGACGCAGUAGGAUAGGCGAAGCGUGCGAUUGGAUUGCACGUCUAAGCAGUAAGGCUGAGUAUUAGGCAAAUCCGGUACUCGUUAAGGCUGAGCUGUGAUGGGGAGAAGACAUUGUGUCUUCGAGUCGUUGAUUUCACACUGCCGAGAAAAGCCUCUAGAUAGAAAAUAGGUGCCCGUACCGCAAACCGACACAGGUAGUCAAGAUGAGAAUUCUAAGGUGAGCGAGCGAACUCUCGUUAAGGAACUCGGCAAAAUGACCCCGUAACUUCGGGAGAAGGGGUGCUCUUUAGGGUUAACGCCCAGAAGAGCCGCAGUGAAUAGGCCCAAGCGACUGUUUAUCAAAAACACAGGUCUCUGCUAAACCGUAAGGUGAUGUAUAGGGGCUGACGCCUGCCCGGUGCUGGAAGGUUAAGAGGAGUGGUUAGCUUCUGCGAAGCUACGAAUCGAAGCCCCAGUAAACGGCGGCCGUAACUAUAACGGUCCUAAGGUAGCGAAAUUCCUUGUCGGGUAAGUUCCGACCCGCACGAAAGGCGUAACGAUUUGGGCACUGUCUCAACGAGAGACUCGGUGAAAUCAUAGUACCUGUGAAGAUGCAGGUUACCCGCGACAGGACGGAAAGACCCCGUGGAGCUUUACUGUAGCCUGAUAUUGAAAUUCGGCACAGCUUGUACAGGAUAGGUAGGAGCCUUUGAAACGUGAGCGCUAGCUUACGUGGAGGCGCUGGUGGGAUACUACCCUAGCUGUGUUGGCUUUCUAACCCGCACUACUUAUCGUGGUGGGAGACAGUGUCAGGCGGGCAGUUUGACUGGGGCGGUCGCCUCCUAAAAGGUAACGGAGGCGCUCAAAGGUUCCCUCAGAAUGGUUGGAAAUCAUUCAUAGAGUGUAAAGGCAUAAGGGAGCUUGACUGCGAGACCUACAAGUCGAGCAGGGUCGAAAGACGGACUUAGUGAUCCGGUGGUUCCGCAUGGAAGGGCCAUCGCUCAACGGAUAAAAGCUACCCCGGGGAUAACAGGCUUAUCUCCCCCAAGAGUUCACAUCGACGGGGAGGUUUGGCACCUCGAUGUCGGCUCAUCGCAUCCUGGGGCUGUAGUCGGUCCCAAGGGUUGGGCUGUUCGCCCAUUAAAGCGGUACGCGAGCUGGGUUCAGAACGUCGUGAGACAGUUCGGUCCCUAUCCGUCGUGGGCGUAGGAAAUUUGAGAGGAGCUGUCCUUAGUACGAGAGGACCGGGAUGGACAUACCUCUGGUGUACCAGUUGUCGUGCCAACGGCAUAGCUGGGUAGCUAUGUGUGGACGGGAUAAGUGCUGAAAGCAUCUAAGCAUGAAGCCCCCCUCAAGAUGAGAUUUCCCAACUUCGGUUAUAAGAUCCCUCAAAGAUGAUGAGGUUAAUAGGUUCGAGGUGGAAGCAUGGUGACAUGUGGAGCUGACGAAUACUAAUCGAUCGAAGACUUAAUCAA